GGCCGGCCGCUCCCCGGUCCCAGGACCCGGAAACGACACGGGCCCGGUACGCGAACCGCGUACCGGGCCCGGUUCCGUUUCCGGGGGCCGGUCA
rnacentral:tRNA from 1 species